rnacentral:rRNA from 1 species
GACGAACGCUGGCGGCGUGCUUAACACAUGCAAGUCGAGCGGAAAGGCCUUUCGGGGUACUCGAGCGGCGAACGGGUGAGUAACACGUGAGUAAUCUGCCCUUGGCUUGGGGAUAACUACCGGAAACGGUGGCUAAUACCGGAUACGACCAAUCACUGCAUGGUGUGUUGGGGGAAAGUUGUUUCGGCCAGGGAUGUGCUCGCGGCCGAUCAGCUUGUUGGUGGGGUAAUGGCCUACCAAGGAUUCGACGGGUAGCCGGCCUGGGCGGGUGACCGGCGACACUGGGACUGCGACACGGCCCAGGCUCCUACGGGCGGCAGCAGUGGGGAGUAUUGGACAAUGGGCGGAAGCCUGAUCCAGCGACGCCGCGUGAGGGAUGACGGCCUUCGGGUUGUAAACCUCUUUCAGUACCGACGAAGCGCCGAUGAUGGUGGUGACGGUAGGUCCAGAAGAAGCACCGGCCAACUACGUGCCAGCCGCCGCAGUAAUAC